GAAAAAUAGAUGGGUUUUGUUUGGUUUUUUUUGUUUGUUUCUUGGUAAUAAUCCAGCAGGUUUCCAUCCUCAUUCCUCUCCACUAUGUUCUGUUGUUCUGGGAAGUCAGUGUUGUGAUUAAGAGUUUUAUUGUGCAUUGAUCAAGCAAAGGCAUUGACUCUCAGGUUUCAGUCUAAUGGCUCAAAGCUGUCACCUCCAAAAUGAGGAACAAGGGCUCACUGCUGCCUCUUCCAGGAUGCCUUCCCUGAUGUUACCUGAACUGGAGACUUGGUAUUUUGGCUUUCGCUAAUGAUGGUAACAAGUUCAGUUAACACAGGUAAACCUGCAGUGCUCCUGCGAUCAAUGGCUUACCAGGCAGAGAGGGAAGAGAUGGUCCCAAAGCUGACAAAGGAGAACCAGGGGCCAGCUCUCAAAACCAGAAAUCAUGCUUGCAAGAGUUGUCUACUAAUCUGA
rnacentral:lncRNA from 1 species